GAAUAAGAAAUGUUUUUACUAUCUUUACAAGUUCAUUAAUUUCUAGAUAUCAACAUGCCAUUUUUAUCAUUAUCAGAGAGAGAGAGAGAGAGAGAGAGAGAGAGAGAGACAGAGAGAGAGAGAGAGAGAGAGAGAGAGAGAGAGAGAGAGAGAGAGAGAGAGAGAGAGUCACUUUGCUUUUUUUCUUUAUUUCAUUCACCAUCACAAUUUUUUUUUCAUACGCCACAAAAAAUAAUAAUGUGGUUUUAUACAUAACUUUUGCGCGGAAGGGCUGUAGAGGAGGGGGGGGAAGGGGAAGGGGAAGGCGAUAAACGCACGCACGCACGCACACACAGACGCACUCACAAAAGAACCAUUAACUUCCUUCAAGCAUUUUUUUUAAUAUAUAUUUUUUUCUACUGUGGCUGAGUAAAAAAAAUGGGCCUUAUUUUUUUUCUUUCUUUUUUUGUUU